AUGACUCCCAUGUGGCUCUUCCUCUUUCUGCUGUCAGCUCCCAGAUGUGUCCUGUCCCAAGUGCAGCUGCAGGAGUUGGGCUCCACGGUGGUACAGCCCUCGCAGACCCUGUCCCUCACCUGUGCCAUCUCUGGGGACAGUGUCUCCAGCAACAGUGCCACUUGGAACUGGGUCAGGCAGCCCCCAGGGAAAGGGCUCCAGUGGCUGGGAAGGAUCUACUUCAGUUCCCAGUGGUACAGACAGUACGCGCCAUCUCUCCAAAGUCGGUUAGUCAUCAACCCCGACACGUCCAAGAACCAGUUCUCCCUGCAGCUGAGCUCUGUGACCAGCGAGGACACAGCUGUGUAUUACUGUGCAAGAUACACAGUGAGGGGAAGGAGCCCGUGGCAAUGUGGUGACUUUGCUUACUGGGGCCAGGGGACCAUGGUCACCGUCUCCUCAGCGAGCGCGGCUCCCCCCAACCUCUUCCCCCUCGUCUCCUGUGACAACUCCCUGUACGAUGAGCGCCUGGUGGCCAUGGGCUGCCUGGCCAAGGACUUCCUGCCCGACUCCGUCACCUUCUCCUGGAGCUUUAAGAACACCAGCGCCAUCAGCGGCCAGGACAUCCAGAACUUUCCCUCGGUCCUGAGGGAAGGCAAGUACGAGGCCAGCUCACAGGUUUUCCUGCCCACGGCCGACAUCCUCCAGGGCACGGAUAAUUUCGUGACGUGCAAGGUCAAACACUCCAACGGCGAAAAAGAAUUGCAAGUGGUCUUCCCAGUGCUGCCCCCCCACGUGAACGUCUUCAUCCCGCCCCGCGACUCCUUCACCGGCCCCGGCCCCCGCACGUCCACGCUCAUCUGCCAGGCCACGGGCUUCAGCCCCAAGAAGAUCGCGGUGUCCUGGCUGAAGGAGGGGAAGCUGCUGACCUCCGGCUUCGUCACGGACAAACCAGAGGUCGAGCGCAAAGCCCGCCCCAUGACCUACAGGGUCACCAGCACGCUGACCAUCACCGAGAGCGACUGGCUCAGCCAGAGCGUGUUCACCUGCCAGGUGGAGCACCAGGAGCUCAUCUUCCAGAAGAACGUGUCGUCCAUGUGCGGCCCCAGUACAUCCACCAUCCGAGUCUUCACCAUCCCCCCGACCUUCGCCAGCAUCUUCCUCACCAAGGAGGCCACGCUGUCCUGCCUGGUCACGGACCUGGCCACCUAUGACAGCCUGCACAUCUCCUGGACCCGCCAGAAUGGCGAGGUGAUGAAAACCCACACCAACAUCUCCGAGAGCCACCCCAACGCCACCUUCAGUGCCAUGGGAAAGGCCACGGUGUGCGUGGAGGACUGGGAGGCGGGCGAGCAGUUCACCUGCACGGUGGCCCACACGGACCUGCCCUCGCCGCUGAAGCACACCAUCUUCAGGCCCAAGGACGUCGCCAAGCACAUGCCCGCGGUGUACGUGCAGCCGCCCAGCCGGGAGCAGCUGAGCCUGCGGGAGUCGGCCUCGGUCACCUGCCUGGUGAAGGGCUUCUCGCCCCCAGAUGUGUUUGUGCAGUGGCUGCAGAGAGGGCAGCCCGUGUCCUCCGACAUGUAUGUGACCAGCGCCCCAGUGCCCGAGCCCCAGGCCCCCGGCUUGUACUUCGUCCACAGCAUCCUGACCGUGAGUGAGGAGGACUGGAGCGCCGGGGAGACCUACACCUGCGUCGUGGCCCACGAGGCCCUGCCGUACUCUGUGACCGAGAGGACCGUGGACAAGUCCACCGGUAAACCCACCCUGUACAACGUGUCCCUGGUCAUGUCUGACGUGGCCAGCACCUGCCACUGA